rnacentral:misc_RNA from 1 species
CCGAGUUUACAACUCCCAAACCCCUAUGUGAACCGUACCUAUCGUUGCUUCGGCGGGAACGCCCCGGCUCCCCGGAGCCCGGAACCAGGCGCCCGCCGAAGGCCCCCAAACUCUUGUUUUUACAGCAGUCUUCUGAGUGGAAAAAUAAAAUCAAUCA